GGGAAGGUGGGCUGGAGAAGAGAGCUGUCAGCUGGCUCUGGAAGCAGGGCUGUAAGGGGAAGGGGCCCAGGGAGGAGGGGCCUGAAAUAGAUCACCACAUUCAGUAUGGGGAAGCAGAAAUAGAAGCUGGUGACGGGAAAAGGAGGUGCGAGCAGAAGUCAGAGCCGAGGCUGAGAUCUCCCUGGCCCAACCCAGCUGGUCCUCAUCCAACUAACCCCUCUGGGUUGGAGGGGGUCUGGACUCUCUGGAGACCCUCACUGGCCUGUCUGCCACUCGAUCCUGAAGCAGAAGCCAAAAGCAGCCACAAGCCUGGAGACAGCAGCUGGGCCAAGAGCCCCCUGACAGGGGCCAGGCAAUGCAAGCAUUGCAGACCCCUUUGCAGCCCUGCAAGGGAACAGAGGUGAAGCAGAACCACCAGGGAAGGUUCUGAAGAUGAAAGAGGAGGCAAAGGCACUUGCCUCUGGGCCAGAUCAGGAGGAGCUGCUGAGAGAAAAGUCUCUUGGGCCUCGGUAGGUGGUUUCAUCAGCCAAGGCUGGCCUAAGGCUAAACUGUGCACAGUAGCCUCCUUCCUUCCCACUUCUCCCUCCUGCCCCUCAUCUGACACUCUGCCCUGGGAGCACUGGGCAAAGAAGCCAGUGCCAGACGCCUGAAAUCAAGUUCUAGCUGCUUUCUGUCGAGGCUGUGUGAUCAUCAGAAAAUAUCUCAAGCUCUCUGACAUUCUACUUCCCCUUCUGUAAAAAUGGACUGAGAUCUACCUCGUAAGACUGUCAAAAUGAAUGAAUGGGAGAAUGAAGCAUCCCUCGCUGGCGGCUCUUGCCCACAACAGUUGCUGCGUUGCUGAUGCGUGGGCCCUAAUGACAAGUGCCAUUUGUCAAGGACCUCGUGCAUCUUGCUUUAAUGGCCAAUGCCUCCCGCCCUCAGAAGCCGUCACCAGCACACCAGGUACAGCCUCAGGGGCGGGGCCUAGGAGAUCCAGUGGCCCUGAAGUGCCUUCGAAAUCCCUUAGGCAAGAACUCCAAGGCCUCUCCAGCCAGGGGGUCACCAUCUCCCCUCCAAAGCUCCCCUUCUCCACCCCCUGCCACCAGCUCCCCGUCCCUGGUGCUGCACUGGCCCUACGGGGGCCUGCAGGGCCCACACAACUUAAGAGAACUGCAGAUGUCUGCAUGGAUUUGAAGCUACGAAUAAAAAGCCAUGGUUUGUUUUGAAUGGACUGUGGCUCUGGAGAGAAAGCCUGGGGAUGCAAAUCCACCAUGAGCGGGAUCCAGAUGGGAAGCAGAUGUGAGCUGUUGGAAGUCCUUGCUCCAGCGCCUAAGGCCCACCUUGGAGAAUUCCUCCCUUUCCCUGCUGAAAGCUGAAGGGCAAGGCCGUGCUCGGACUCCACGGGAGCCCCAGCUCAGGGCUCGGUCUGCUUGGCUGUCUCCCCUUAUUUUUUUCUUUCCUUUGCAUUUCUCUUCCUCUUGUGUCCCUGUAGGAUGUGCCUGUUCUCCAGGCCUCCCCUCCGUCUCUCUCUGCUUCUGUCUCUCUGCCUCCCAGUCUCUCUCCAUUUUAGUCACUCCAUCUCUUUGUCUUUAUGGCAAUGCCUGUCUUACUCUCUCUUGCUCUCAGACAGUCUCUGACUCCAUGUCUGUUCUGGGUCUCGGGCUCACACUCCCUCCCUCUUCUUGGCUGCUUCCCAAGGCCAGUGCCCUACCCUCCAUGCUUGGAUAAGUCUGCCAAUCAGCUUGAGCUCCUGGGGUGAGGAACAGGAAGAACAGGCCGAGGGCAGACAGCAGCCCCGGUUCCAUGAAGGAAAGCGAGUUUAAGCCAGAGAGGCCCGGCCAGGCCAAGGCCAAGAAUUUCUCACUUCCCCGCAGGGCUGGAUAUUUAGUCUGAGUUGGGGAGGCAGGUGGCACCCAGCCUGGAGUUCCCGAGUCUGCACAAGCAGCUCUGCCCACAACCCCUCCCUAGCUUGAGGUCCCCUUCAGAGUGACAUCUCUCUCUCUCUGAGUCCUAGUCUGGACCCUGCCCAGUCGGGCACCAGGAAGAGGCAGCACAGGUGGGCACCACAGUCAUUGCGUCUCCCGAGCACACAGCCCUUCCCCUUUCAACCCCUGCUGGGCCUCAGGCAGUCUCCAAAGGCUAAAGUGCUUUUUCUUUGGCUUGCAUACAGUUUAUAAGUACUUUACCCAAUUGAUACAGACUCCACAUCCAGUUGUCUUAUUUUCCUUUAUGGGUCCACAAACUUCUGAGCUCUCAGACUGAAACUUGGGGCCAUUUGUGGCACAUUCCAGAGGCCAGUAGGGAUGUCACACUUUAACUUUAAUCUCAUAUACAGGCUGUGAAUACUAUGGCUUUGUGGGGGGGAACUUGAGGAACGCACUAGAACACAUCCCAAAAUAAGCUGCUGUCAUUCCCAGGAGACUGAAUCAUUUAGAGGGCAAUUUCACAAAUGCUUCUGCAGAUGUGAAUGAGAAUGCUGUCAGAAUAUGGCUGGGGUCCGUCUCCUUGGCACUCUCCACGUGUGCUCAGGGCUACCUUCUCCACCCAGCAUGCAUUUAUUCUAGGAUCCAGGGACACCCUCUGGUCCCUGGCACUGGGUUAGCACCUGACACGGGUUAGCACCUGGCAACUGGGUUAGCAUGAGGGAGGAUCACUACAGUGCCACAGCAUGAGGCGUUGUCCCUGGAGGCAAGGCAUUCAGUGUGCUGGCUGAGCCCUUGGGUCUGGAAUCCUUCAGGUGCUGAGCACCUAUUAUGUGCUGACAUUGUGCUAAGCAGUGGGUGGUGAGCAAAGAUAGGGCACAUUAGCUUGUGAAGGAAGCAAACAGGGUGGUGAAACCUGGGGUAAAAGUCAGGGAGGACCUGGGAGAGCACAUUGCGCCUGGAGCUGAUCAUAGCAGCUGUCUCUGAACUUCAGCUGCGUCCCAUGAAAUAGGGGCAACAAGGGCUGUUCUGGGCGUUCGAUGAGAUAAUCGUGUAACCAGUAGUGACAACACCCUUGAGUAAGGCGAUGCAGCUGGGCAGUGAGCAGCCGCAGACGUGGUUGCAGGGCAUGGGUGUAGCAGAUGCUGUCAGUACUCUGUGCACGUCUUCAGGUUCCUGUAUUAUUUCAGGACACCCCUGCCAGCACCUGUCCCCAGCUCUUGGAACCUGCUUUUGGCCUCCUGUGUGGAGAUCAGGGAGGUAUGUGGGGAGUUACUACCCUCAGCCCCCACAGACGGCCCUAACCAACAGCUCCAUGUGUGGGGUAUAAACACCACCAUGUCACCAAGCUUCCAGGAGAUUGAGCCACUUUCCCCCGUGACCUCUUGCUUGGCAUUCCAUCCUUGCUUGAGCUCCUUCUCUUCCAAGUCCCCUCCCCCACUCCUGGGAAGAUGCCCGAGAAAUCAUGUUCCCAUAAUCUUUGUUGCAGGUCCUAUUUCUGAGUAACACAACUUAAGACACUGGAAAAUGCCAAGUAACCAUUAGGAAGCAUCUCCUAAGCUGGGUGGCCCAGUCUUCCUGCCUCUGGUCAAGGCAGGUCCUCCCAAGUUCCUAAGGAAUCAGUCACAGUAGCCUUCUGUCUCUGAGGAAAUCUGUGCUCCCUGUAUUUGAACAUGGCAAUGGCUAUUCCAUGGGAAGCUGGCAGGAUGGUCCCUGGCUUGUUGCUCACAGUCCUCGAUUCAGGAAACCAAGCUGCUGGGCCCAGGCCUCUUGCUGUCCUCCCUCCAGGAACCUGCACAAAGUGCCAAAAGAUGCCAUAAAAUACACACUCAGUUAUGAUUGCCAUCUUCCCCUAUUCUUGGGAACCCCAAAUGGUUAUCCUCAGAUUAAGUCUUUAUUGUCCAUCUUCUCACCUCCCAUCCGAGGAGAAAUGGCAGCCCUCCAUCGGCCGGACUCACAGAGCAGCUGGCAGGGACACCUCCUGAUGCUGGUCUGGAUUAUUUCUCUGGACUUUGUGAUCUUUGUGGUAUUUGCUAGCUCUUUAAGGUUUUGUGACUUG